GAGGGUGGCAAGCGUUGUUCGGAAUCACUGGGCUUAAAGCGCGCGUAGGCGGAAAUUCAAGUGUCUUGUGAAAUCCCUCGGCUUAACCGAGGAAUUGCUUGGCAAACUGAAUUUCUUGAGGCAAGUAGGGGUACAUGGAACUCUUGGUGGAGCGGUGGAAUGCGUAGAUAUCAAGAGGAACGCCGAAGGUGAAGACAGUGUACUGGGCUUGUCCUGACGCUGAGGUGCGAAAGCGUGGGGAGCGAACGGGGGAUUAGAUACCCCGGUAGUCCACGCCGUAAACGAUGUCUACUAGGUUGUGGAGGUUCUGACACCCCUCACAGUCAAAGCAAAAGUGUUAAGUAGACCGCCUGGGGGAGUACGGUCGCAAGGCUA
rnacentral:rRNA from 1 species